CCCUUAGAUGUUCUGGGCCGCACGCGUGCUACACUGAGUAAUACAAUGGGUAAGGGAACGCUAGAGCAUUACCUAAUCUUGAAAUUUGCUCGUGAUGGGGAUCGACGGUUGCAAUUUUCCGUCGUGAACGAGGAAUACCUUGUAGGCGCAUGUCAUCAUCAUGCGCCGAAUACGUCCCUGCCCUUUGUACACACCGCCCGUCGCUCCUACCGAUUGAGUGAUCCGGUGAGGCUCUGGGACCUGGACGGAAAGAGCGUUUCGCUUGUUCUGUUUGGGAAACUUGGUCGAACCUUAUCAUUUAGAGGAAGGAGAAGUCGUAACA
rnacentral:rRNA from 1 species